rnacentral:rRNA from 1 species
AUUGACCGCUGGCGGCAGGCCUAACACAUGCAAGUCGAACGAGUGGCGGACGGGUGAGUAAUGUCUGGGAAACUGCCCGAUGGAGGGGGAUAACUACUGGAAACGGUAUCUAAUACCGCAUACCAUCGGAUGUGCCCACAUGGGAUUAGCUUGUAGGUGAGGUAACGGCUCACCUAGGCGCCGAUCCCUAGCUGGUCUGAGAGGAUGACCAGCCACAUGGGAAAUGAGACACGGUCCAGAAGCCUACGGGAGGCAGCAGUGGGGAAUAGUGCACAAUGGGCGCAAGUCUGAUGCAGCCAUGCCGCGUGUAUGAAGAAGGCCUUCGGGUUGUAAAGUACUUUCAGCGGGGAGGCGUUACCCGCAGAAGAAGCACCGGCUAACUCCGUGCCAGCAGCCGCGGUAAUUC